UACAGAGGCCACAAGCGUUAAUCGGAAUCACUGGGCUUAAAGGGUGCGUAGGCGGUCCCGCAAGUGCUUUGUGAAAUCCCAUCGCUCAACGAUGGAAUGGCUCGGCAUACUGCGGGACUUGAGGUCGGUAGAGGUCGUCGGAACAGUAGGUGGAGCGGUGAAAUGCGUAGAUAUCUACGGGAACGCCAAAGGUGAAGACAGGCGACUGGGCCGAUGCUGACGCUGAGGCACGAAAGAGUGGGGAGCGAACGGG
rnacentral:rRNA from 1 species